rnacentral:piRNA from 2 species
CACUUUGGGAGGCCGAGGCGGGUGGAUC